GACGAACGCUGGCGGCGUGCUUAACACAUGCAAGUCGAACGGAAAGGCCCUGCUUUUGUGGGGUGCUCGAGUGGCGAACGGGUGAGUAACACGUGAGUAACCUGCCCUUGACUUUGGUAUAACUUCAGGAAACUGGGGCUAAUACCGGAUAGGAGCUCCUGCUUCAUGGUGGGGGUUGGAAGUUUCGGCGGUUGGGGAUGGACUCGCGGCUUAUCAGCUUGUUGGUGGGGUAGUGGCUUACCAAGGCUUUGACGGGUAGCCGGCCUGAGAGGGUGACCGGCCACAUUGGGACUGAGAUACGGCCCAGACUCCUACGGGAGGCAGCAGUGGGGAAUAUUGCACAAUGGGCGGAAGCCUGAUGCAGCAACGCCGCGUGCGGGAUGACGGCCUUCGGGUUGUAAACCGCUUUCGCCUGUGACGAAGCGUGAGUGACGGUAAUGGGUAAAGAAGCACCGGCUAACUACGUG
rnacentral:rRNA from 1 species